UACGUAGGGGGCUAGCGUUGUCCGGAAUCAUUGGGCGUAAAGAGCGUGUAGGCGGUCCGGUAAGUCCGUUGUGAAAGUCAGGGGCUCAACCCUUGAAUGCCGGCGGAUACUGUCGGGCUAGAGUCCGGAAGAGGCAAGUGGAAUUCCCGGUGUAGCGGUGAAAUGCGCAGAUAUCGGGAGGAACACCUAUGGCGAAGGCAGCUUGCUGGGACGGCGCUGACGCUGAGACGCGAAAGCGUGGGGAGCAAACAGG
rnacentral:rRNA from 1 species